AGCUUCUAUGAUUCUAGGAUUACAGACUUGCCUGCCUAGAGCUACUGCUCUAUGCUGAUUAUGAGCAUUUUAGAGCUGGAAAUAAAGAUGGCGAAAAAAAUAAUAGAAGUAAAUAAUAAUAUGUUACCUCCAUGCUAUUUCAUGGUAGAAGACAGAAGUAACUGAAAAUCUAUGAGGUCUCAGAUACAGAUGGGUCAGAGCUACUAGUAGGUUGCUCCUUGAUUACCUUUCUUCCUUCAAGCAGUUUGAACAACUGGGGGCCACCUGGUGCAUGCAGUGAUGCAUUAUUCCCUUCAUUUUUCCAGGUGUGUGACCACCAGGGGCAGCUCCAGCUGGAAAGCCUGUGGGGACAUCAUUGAUUUUGUUGAGCAGCACUGUGCAGAUUUGGCUUAACUAUAAAGACCAAAGCAACAUCAGAAAAAGAACUGUGACAGGAUUAAAGAGCAAGCCACUCUUUUAUUGCUACAGAGGCAAUUCAGCUGAAACUUGGCCAAGAUUUCUAAUUGAAGAAAUUGGCUGAGAGAAGAAGAAAUAGAUUUUUCCCAGUGAGAAGGAAGAUUUGUAUGUUAUUGCUCAUUUUCCCACACAACUCUUGAGGAAUA